UACGUAGGGGGCAAGCGUUGUCCGGAAUCAUUGGGCGUAAAGCGCGUGUAGGCGGCCAGAAAAGUCCGCUGUGAAAACUCGAGGCUCAACUUCGAGCUGUCGGUGGAAACUUUCUGGCUAGAGUCCGGAAGAGGAGAGUGGAAUUCCUGGUGUAGCGGUGAAAUGCGCAGAUAUCGGGAAGAACACCCGUGGCGAAGGCGGUUCUCUGGGACGGUACUGACGCUGAGACGCGAAAGCGUGGGGAGCGAACAGG
rnacentral:rRNA from 1 species